GGGGGGGCACCCCCAAAAUGACGCUCGAUGUUGAUCUGAAGUCGACGGUGAAGCCCGUAAGCUGGGUGGAUUAGUGGCGAACGGGUGAGUAACACGUGAGUAACCUGCCCUUAACUCUGGGAUAAGCCUGGGAAACUGGGUCUAAUACCGGAUAGGAGCGUCUACCGCAUGGUGGGUGUUGGAAAGAUUUAUCGGUUUUGGAUGGACUCGCGGCCUAUCAGCUUGUUGGUGAGGUAAUGGCUCACCAAGGCGACGACGGGUAGCCGGCCUGAGAGGGUGACCGGCCACACUGGGACUGAGACACGGCCCAGACUCCUACGGGAGGCAGCAGUGGGGAAUAUUGCACAAUGGGCGAAAGCCUGAUGCAGCGACGCCGCGUGAGGGAUGACGGCCUUCGGGUUGUAAACCUCUUUCAGUAGGGAAGAAGCGAAAGUGACGGUACCUGCAGAAGAAGCACCGGCUAACUACGUGCCAGCAGCCGCGGUAAUACGUAGGGUGCGAGCGUUAUCCGGAAUUAUUGGGCGUAAAGAGCUCGUAGGCGGUUUGUCGCGUCUGUCGUGAAAGUCCGGGGCUUAACCCCGGAUCUGCGGUGGGUACGGGCAGACUAGAGUGCAGUAGGGGAGACUGGAAUUCCUGGUGUAGCGGUGGAAUGCGCAGAUAUCAGGAGGAACACCGAUGGCGAAGGCAGGUCUCUGGGCUGUUACUGACGCUGAGGAGCGAAAGCAUGGGGAGCGAACAGGAUUAGAUACCCUGGUAGUCCAUGCCGUAAACGUUGGGCACUAGGUGUGGGGACCAUUCCACGGUUUCCGCGCCCGCACUAACGCAUUAUGUGCCCCGCCUGGGGAGUACGGGCGCAAGGCUUAAACUUCAAGGAAUUGACGGGGGCCCUGCCAAUCGGCGGAGCAUGCCGAUUAUUCGAUCAAUCCCUAGAACUUACUAAGCUUGAAUGUUCUCAUCGCCUUCAAUUCGGUUUCCUUUGGGCGGU
rnacentral:rRNA from 1 species